rnacentral:rRNA from 1 species
GACGAACCGAGCGAACGUUGUUCGGAAUCACUGGGCUUAAAGGGCGCGUAGGCGGUCCGACAAGUCAGGGGUGAAAUCCUGCAGCUUAACUGCAGAAGUGCCUUUGAUACUGUCGGUCUGGAGGGAGGUAGGGGUGUGCGGAACUUCCAGUGGAGCGGUGAAAUGCGUUGAUAUUGGAAAGAACACCAACGGCGAAAGCACUCUGCUGGGCCGACACUGACACUGAGAGACGAAAGCUAGGGGAGCGAAUGGG